rnacentral:misc_RNA from 1 species
GAUGAAGAACGUAGCGAAAUGCGAUAAGUAAUGUGAAUUGCAGAAUUCAGUGAAUCAUCGAAUCUUUGAACGCACCUUGCGCUCCUUGGUAUUCCGAGGAGCAUGCCUGUUUGAGUGUCAUGAAAACCCUCAACCUUAGAUUGGUUAAAACCUUUCUUUGGCUUGGAUUUGGACGUUUGCCGAUGAUAAGUCGGCUCGUCUUAAAAGUAAUAGCUGGAUCUGUCUCGCGACAUGGUUUGACUUGGCGUAAUAAGUAUUUCGCUAAGGACAUCUUCGGACGGCCGCGUUGCAAGACUAAAGACCGCUUUCUAAUCCAUUGAUCUUCGGAUUAAUAUUCUUGACAUCUGGCCUCAAAUCAGGUAGGACUACCCGCUGAACUUAAGCAUAUCAAUAAGCGGAGGA